AUCUAAUGUUCAUCCUUUUAAAAUGCAUAACUUCCUGUCUACUUAUAGCUAGAAAUAUAUUUUGCUUCUUUCUUUAGAAGAUCUUGGAAAAGCAUGUUUAUCCUCAAAAUUAGCAUUGUUUCAAUUUUGGAGAAAGCACUGCGCAGAGAUCUGAAUUACUUGCCAACCCCCUGCAAAUGAGUGGCAAAGCUGGAAACAGAGCUCAGCUCUUUGGUGGAAGGAGACAGAUGAGGAACAACUUUCCACAUUGAGGUCAACAUGAAUGCAGAUCAAGUCCAGUUAUGUGAAGAAGGGGAAGAAACACAUGGAGUUAAUGUAGAAAGCUGAUCUCUACAUCUUUAACAGCCAAAGCGUGAAAUGUAGAUCCAAAUCAUGUGAUAUCUGAGCUGAAAUUUGACUCGAGUAUUCUGUCUUUUGCAUAAAGUACAAGGAUUGCUAAAGUCAGGAAGACUUGAGAUUCAUCUCCCAGGAAAGUGCCUGGAAUACAUUUAAGCCACAAAUUUUUAUACUUUUACAACAACUAUGCUAAUUGCAUGGAAAAAUAUGUAUAUAAAUUUGGUGACGUGUGUGAAACACGGAUGAAUGACUUAACUGCAUAAAUAAUUAAUAUAUAUUUUUUUUAAUGAGGUAAGGGCUUAUUGAACUGAAAAAUAACUUCAAAGUCAUUUCAGCUCCAUAAGACCUUUUGCCCUGAGAUCGUGGUAACUUUAAUUUAUACAGUUUUGGUGUGCAUCUCUUAGGUCACUGUUUCUGUAGAGUUUUAUGCUGCAGUCUUAGUCACUGUAAUCUUAAAUCUUAGGGUUAAAGCUUCUUGCUGAUUUGCAACUUUUAAAUUAUAUUAAUAAUUAAACACAUUUAAUAUGCCGUUAGCAUUUUGAGGCCUGCUCCAAAACCCUCUGAAGUCACUAGGAAGAUGAGCUCUUUCCAUAAGCAGACUUUGGAGUAGCCUACUACUUAAGUGUGUAGUGGCUACAGAAGCAUGUACACAGGUGUUUGUAACAAAUUCUAAAGAAAGUUUAGUUUGUCAAUCUUACACUUUAAAUACUCAGCUUGUCUUUUGGAUUUCUGUGGAGGCUGGUUAAUUUAAUUAGAUCUGUCUAAUGCAUCUAAACAUGCUCAGUGGGGAAUCUGCAGCCUGGAGGAGCUGGUCAUAGACUUUUACUUAUUGCCAGACUGAAACAGCUGCAGGGAGCCAACAGGAGAACUGGUUCUCUUGGUCUGUUCAGACUCUUUCAAAUAGCUUAUGAAAGAAGUGCUGCUGCUUUGGGAGCUUGCCAUAGAUAGAGAGUACCAUGUAUGGCAAAAGAAUUAUUUUUGCUUGAUAAAAGGAUGGAGAUUGUGUGAGGCUGAUUCAGUCCCAGUGGACAGAAGUACAAUGAUUUUUUUUAAUUAAAAAUGGAAUCUCAUAAAUGUUAUUAGUGGCUCAGUUUCUAUGUAUUUCUCUCUGUGCUUGGCUUCAAAGGCAGUCUUCUGAAAACAAAGGAGAUGAGGCAUAGAGUCAGUGUAAGGAAGGGAAACAAAACCGGCUGUCAGGGUUGGUAGGAUCCUGGUGAACUUGUGACUGCUUUGCCAAUGCAGAACUAGCAGACCUUUGGUCAAAUCCUUAAGGUACUAAAGACAGUGAGUCUAUAUGAUAAAAUCAAAUAACAUCAUUUGACAUGCUGGGGCAAUCUAGGUGUAAGCCAGUUCUUUUUGGUGACUUUUUAGCAUUUUAUUUGUGGUGUUUUUGUUGUUUAAGUAUGAGAUUCCAAAGCUUGAGUUAUAGAUACCCUGCUGCCUACCCUGUUGCAUUUUUGAUUUUCUUGUAAUGCUGCAAAGUAUUGCAUUGCUGUAUAUUUGCUAGAGAUGUUUUACAAAAUGCUUUGCUGAACUCUGAAUUAGUUAAUCUUUGUGUUUAGCUUUAAACACUCUUCGCAUUAAACACACUGUGAAGAGUUGUGAAAACUAGAGGGCACUCAAAACUAAAUUCUUGUCUCUAACUUACCAGUUAGAGUUUAGAUGCUGGAGAUAGCAUCAUGUGCAACUGCUGUACUGCAAAAGGAGUGAGGACUUCACAGAACAGCCCCAGCAAGAUAUUUAGGCACCCUUGGACCUCCUUUUCCUUUCUCCUCAGACACCUUUCUUUUUCCUCAGCUGCAAACCUGUAUCUUUUCAUUUGAGCAGCCAUAGUGACAAGGGAUUGGGACAUAUUUGCUUUCAUUAAAUGCUCUGUUUACUCUGCCCUUGCUAUGACCCCGAACAGAAACAGCUGGUCUCCACUGAUUCUUGUGAGUACAAACAUGAGCUUUACAGGUAUGUUUUUUGGGAUGAUGUUAUAGGAAAUUUUGCAAAAGAGCACCAGGAGAUACACACAUAGUUUCUCUAUGUAAUGUUCUGCAAAUAGGCCAUUAUGGCUACAUUACUGCGGGUUAUUGAAAUAUGCCUUUAAAUGAUAUAGCAACCCAAAUCUGAUUGCAGUAAUUUGUGUAAAUACCCAUAAUGUAUUAUGGUAGAAAAUGUGAAAUGGUAUUUUUAGAUAAUAAAGCAGGUACUUAAAAGUGAGAGUUUUGCUUCCUAAAAUCAGACAUGAUUUAAAACUGAAUACAGUGCUGAUUCAUAAUCAAUUUUCUUGUUCUUUUUUUCAGCCUACAGCUAGUAUUAUGAAGUUAAUGAAAUACGUACUUUCAAAUCUCCUGAGAUAUUGGCUCCUGCGAGAAUGCCAGUGGCAGCUGGGAAAAAAAUGGCAAACACCGAGAAAAAUCCUUCUCCACCUCUGAAAUCUGGUCCAAAGUUUUCUGCAAAUAUUGAUGCUGCAAAUAUAGGUGAAAAUGAAACAUGCUAACAGGAUUUGAUUCCAGAGUUACUUAAUGAAGAAGGUGAAUCAUCAAGUCUUUCACAUCUGGACGUCUGGGUUUGAAUCUGUCUCAUAUUACAAGCGAAGUGAAUUUGAUUUCCUCAGUCUGGUCCCCAGUAGGAUGUGCUUGUGUGCAUCUCAAAGCCACAGAGCCAUAUUGAAGUGACAGGAAUGUCACUACAGCACUUGCACUUAGCUCUGUUUAAAGGUUUGUCUGUGCUCUGCUGAUACACAAAUGACUCAAACUGUAGCUAACUAUGCUGUCAGAUUCAGCAGCAGAGAGACAUACUCAAAAUUAAAGAUGAAAGAAAAAGGCUUGGUUGCAAGCUUAUUUAAAUUUGAGCCAAAGAUCCUUAUCCUGUGACCUUUUUCAGUGGAAUCCUCAACUCAGUAAGAAGCCACAAAGAAUGCAAAGUUACUUUUCUGUGAUAGAUGAACAGUACUUGCCUUGGUAAUUAAAAAAGCCUCUUGCCUUCUUUUCGUUGUUUGUAGGAAUGACUGUUCCAAUAAAGAAGUUUGCAAUGGCAAUAAGGAGAACAACUAGAAGAAUAACUUGAGCCUGUUAAUAGAAAUAAAAAGAUCUGAACUUAGAACUUUACAAGUAGUUCUAAGUUUCCAUCACAGCAGAAUAUGAAAAUAAGGGUCCAAUUAUGGACCUGAUUUCUACACUCUGAAGUAUUUCCAAUUUUAACUUUUUUUUUUUUUAGGGUGAAGGAAUAACAGAUAUCAUCAGAGAUUAAGGAAUGGCUAGCAAAUAGAGCUCUCCUGCUGAUCAGAGCUUGAGAGAUUACAGUGAUAAAACCAUAUAUUGUUUUAACUACUGUUUAUUCUGUCAAACUGCAUCAAAAAUAAGGGCAAAAGGAGCACUUACCCAAGGCUCUAAAUGAUGCCAUGAAUUAUAAAAAUCAAUAUAAUCAAGCUGUCUGUGAAACAUGAACUUCCUUUUCCCUCUUAAAUGAAUGUUCAAGGAAGAGCACAGAGUAAUAGUGCUUUCAAUGAAUGUAAUGAUUAAACUGUUAUUGCUUUUAGAAAGGCUAAGCAUAAACUGAAGCUGAGUGCUUUUGAAAAUCCCACCUGUUGUAAAAAUCCCACCAUCCCUCAUGCACAAACCCUGUACAGUACGGUAAUAUACUGCUUGCUUGUAUGUUCUUUUAAAACUUUACCUUUGCUUCCCAUUCCAUGCCAGCAACAGAGAUGCCAAGAAGACAUACAACAGUUAUGGUACCUAUGAUUCUGAUGUCAUUGGACUCAUCUACCAUUAUUGUAUCACUCUCCUGGAAAGAGUAAAAAAUAUUGUUAUGACCAGUCUUUCUUGGCCCAGCUGGUGGGAUCAGGUAACAAGUGAAAAUAUUUGCUCAUCUUUGAAGAAGUAGCUGAAAUGUAAGGAGUAUUAUAAAGAAUUAUACGAGAAAGUAUUAAAUUGAAGAUACCACUGAUCUGCAUCAGUCUUCAAAAAGGAAGAGUGCUUCGUGCUCAGUUUGUCAAAGGAUGUCCAACCUGGAAGGCUCUGAAUAUUAAAGACCUGCUGAAAGCUGUUGUCUCAUCUCCAGCAGUGCUUUCUCCAUUAGCCACUCUUUCCACUGAGCCGGUGCUCACGGCUAUGUUCUGAAGGAUCACACAGAAAACAAGCACAUUUUUGUAUCAAGCAGAGGACACCUGGUUGUAUAAGAGGGACAUGGAAGAAGGAAUUCCAAAGAAGAUCAAGUUUUACUGUUUGUAGAGUAGAGUGCAAUACUCUUCUGACACCAAGCAUCAACAGAAGUUUAGCCUUCAUCUCUCCUGGGGAUAAAGAUGAUGAGCUCAUCAAGUCUUCAUAAAACAAAUGUGGUAAAUAGCCAAGAGGAAGAAAGGUUAGAUGAUUUCUUAUGUAAGGUAAAUAUUAAGCCCAAGUAAUUAUCACCAGCUAUCAGCUGUGAAAUAGCCCUUAGACUAUUUUUUAGGGAUUUAAUUGGUGUUUUGUGGCUUAAUGCGUGCAAAGCCUGACACAUCUUGCUAAAAGAUGACACAUAUUUGACUCCAGCAGCGUGGGAACUGGAUAUUUGAAGUUCCUUUCAGCCUGCCUUACAUUCUGACAUUUGAAAAAUUGCAUAUUAAAAAUGUAUUAAAUAUUAAUAUUUAUCUUCUGAUGCUAAGCCAGCAUCAAAGCACAGUGGGAACGCUUACGUGAUGUUUAGAAAUUUGAAGUCAAAUAUAUGUCAUUUCUUAUCAGAAUCUGGCAAUGGGCUUUGACAAGGCAGUUGUCUUCAACAAUAUGAGUUACAAAAAAGCUGUGGAGGGAGGGGAUUGCCUUGGGUUAUAGUGUGGUAAAUCCAGAUUUUAGUGUUAAAGAAAAAGGAAUAAAGCAUCUUCUCCAGAUUUGUAUCUUGGGAUAUUAGUCUAUCCCCCUCACACACACACUGGGGCAUUUCAUCCCCAACUUAAGGGUGGCUAGAGAGCCUGCUGCACAUGGGUUCAGCUGCACAUACUGCUUUCACCUGCAGAUAGGAGCUCAGCUUUUUCAUACUAUCUUAAUGCCUUCUCUACUAAUCUACUACUUGGUGUUCUCGCAUUUGUUUAUUCUUCAGAAUGCCUAAAUUGCAUUUGAUUGCAUCUUUCAGUGGUGCUUUUCAACUCUUAGCAAAUGUCAGAAAAACAGGUUUUAUGGAAUCUGUCUGGAAAUUUAAGGCAGGAUUGUAUAAAAGACCACAAAGCACUUGGAUACGCAAAAGCUAGGGUGGUACUUCUAGAUAGUACCUACUUGUUCUGGCACUGUUUUCAGAAGCUGAGACAGUAUGUUAAUAUCCCUGUACUUUUAGCCUGGCAGCUGCUGAAUUUCUUCUAACUUGGGAACUAUCCUGUUCAGCACUAGCUUGAAAACAUGGUGAAGGUCUGUAGAUAGAAGUAAUUAGUCCAAAGUCACAGAGUAAGUCCAUGGGACAGCCAGGAGUGGACUCCAGCCAUGCUAAUGGUGGGUUGUUUUUUCCAGUGCUGUGGGCAGUGGUUCCCAGACCAGGGCCACAACACACAUAAGGGCACAGCAGGUUGCCAGCAUAACAAAAAUCCCAUUACCUCUGACAUUCCCUUUUAUAUUUUGAGAGGCACAAGAUUAUCCUUCCGUAAGCUGGAUAUUUAAAAAAAAAAAAAAAAAAAAGUAAGUAAACAACUGAGCGAGACCAUGCUCUUUUCUCUUCCCUAACAGUCAGCAAUUUUCCCUUCAUUGUAUUCUGGGAUGGAAGCUGAUGCCUUUUUAACCUUCACUAAGUGAAAGUCUUAACAAAUCCCAAGCAAUUUAUCUAAUUGUGUUUAAAACAAACAAAUUAAUCUUCUUGACCAAAUGAGAUAUGCAACAGAAAAAAAAAAAUGGUCAAAACUGAAAAUUCCUUAAUAUGCUAAUGUUUAGUAUAUGUUCAUUUAGCAUUAUGUUCAAAGCCAAAAUACGCUAUUUUUCAUCUCUCUGACCACCAUCAAUGUAAAUUAUUUCUAUAACAGGAAUUUUCUUUGGGGCAUGGAAAUGUGUUUAGUCACUUGAGUAGCAGCUUACACAUCUGAAAAGAAGUAGGGCUACCAAAUUCAUAUUCUCCCCUUUUUACAUCCACUUUGCAGUCAUUAAUGGAAAUAUAAAUAAUUACUCAGGUAACCUACUUCUCCUUUCUAUGUUAACCAUUUUAAGCAGGUAUGUGGAGACCUUCAUUUAAAGUUUAAAGUUAUAAUUUAAAUUUAAGUCAGGCCCAAACUAGGAAGAUGUUCUAAUCAGAUACUAAAGAAUCAGGUCUUAAUUUUCCUAAUGGCUAUGUUUUUGCUUGAUUUCAUUUCUUUCUAUUGAUCCUUCUUAGGAUAGGAGAAUCUACAGAGAACUGGAGUUUGAACAAGAUCUUGACCAAAAAUCAGAUGUUUGUCUGAAUUAUUUAGACCUCAGAAUUAUGUAAAACAGUGCAAUGGCAAUGAGAGCAUGUUUUUUCUGGAGUUUUUUUUUUUUUUUUUUUUCCUGCACUUAACACUUUCAGUCUGAAUUUGAAUACAGAGGUGAUCUCUCUCUUUCCGGCCCUGCCUCAGAAGUGUACAAAAGAAACUCAAAAAAGGUUUGAUUUUAGUUCGGUAAGUGGGUGUAUCCUGUGUCUCCCCUUUGCUUUUUAUGGAGAACUUAUUAUUGUGGAUAAGGUGAAAGAGGCUAUAACUUUACCAAAGUCAGUUCAGUACUGUAUUAUUCCAGUAAUGUUUUGCAGUAGGUUUUUUAAUAGUUUAAUUGUUUCAAACUGCUUAAUCUAUUUGUUCUUAUCCUCCAAAAGUUCUCAUUGCAUUUUUCCACAUUAUUUUGCAUGGAGAUCAUUCCUCCAUAUACAAAAGUCGAGCAUUAAAAGGUCUAUAGAUAGGUGAAUUUUGCUGAGGCAGUAACACGCAAGUUAGUGAAAAUCUGAUAUUUGAUACUUAAGGUUGUUAGCUUAUCAAAUUAUUUGCAGUGGAAGUUUUAAAUGUGCAAACCAUGAAGAUUAUACCUGACCAAUGUGUUUUCUUUGGGUGUAUAGCUAUAGAGGGUGACAAAAGUGAGGAUUAUCACGAUAAAUUGCAUGUUUCUGGUAUUUCAUUAUUCAUUUACUAUAGUGUCUAUGUGGAAGAAAUAGUGCAAACAGGAAGAGUCCUCUAAGGGGGAGGCUCUUUUUUUCCCCAUUAAAUCCUUUGGGCAUAUGUAUCAGUAAUAAACUCCUAUAUUGUAGAACCACUCAGAAGGGGAGAGAAGAAACUGAGCCCUAGAAAAUUCUUCAAAGACAAAUUAGGUAGUUGUUUUCCUGUUCAGUAAUUUUCUCUGUAAGUGUAUUUUACACGGAUAUGAGAAAAGUCUAAACAGCUCUUCUGCAUGAUAGAUUAGAAGGAAUUCAGCCAACUUAUUCUUCCAUAAAUAUUUUAUACGUGGUCAUUCAAGAGACUCUUCAGAUUCUUUCCAAACUCAUUGGUAUAAUGAGCAUGAAGGACUAAAUUAAUUCACUGAAUCAGUACCUGGAAAUUGUUGUCUCCUGUACCUCUUCAGGGCAAACACUUUCAACCCCAACACUCUUGUUCUGGAUUCUUUCUUGCUAUUUGAAUGGUUUGUUACUGCAAUAAACAGGUAGUGCUUUGAUUUCUGAUUAUUUGAAAUUGCUUUUAUUGCACGUAAUACUUUUUAUAAUAGCUAUAGAUAUAUAGAUAUAUUUUAAUGAAUACAGCAGGAAUCUGUGAAACUUAGUUUUGCAUUGAUGUUAAAUUCAAAUUUGGAAUAAAUGUGUAUUGUGUAAUUUGGUUAAAUUAUGAGUUGAUAUUCAUCAUCUACCAUCCUAACUCCUAAGUGAAACAGAAGAAGUUCAGUAGUUUUAUACUUCUAGGUAAGAUUAAGCUAUGAUGUUCUGAUAAUCAAGUACAUUACUAUCAGCUUUUAAUAAAAAUCUUUGCUUUGAGCAGGAUACAGGGCAGAAAACAUACUGUAGCUACUGAAGGAAAUAUGCUUUUUAAAUUGUAAGGAAGUGUUUCAUCUUCAGGCAUGAAGGAGCAAAAACAAAUCUUUUGUCACUAAGUUUGACAGUCGAGAUCAUACACUGCACAGAUGUAGGAGCACAGAAGAAACAGCUGUGGAGAUGAGCUGGAGAGUACAAAGACUUCCAGCCAGCUCAUGGACCCCUCUGCCUUCUGGGGGCUGGGCACAAACGAGUAUGCAGUGUGAGUGUCUCUGCUUUGGCCUUGACAAGCUGGUGUAAUUACUGCUGGGAGCUGUUAACCAGACAGAACAGGUUGCAGCUAACAGUGCAACAGGUGAAGUUCCAGUUUAAACUCAAUCAUCCUCUGUAACCAGGGGGAGUAAAAAUUGACAUGGCGUGACCAGUUCAGUUAGAUUGUCAGGUUGGUUAUGUAAUGUUUACUUAUUCUCUUUCACCUUAAGAUUUUAACUGCAUGGGAGGCACAGGUAGAGUGGGACUGUGGUGUUCUUGGUUUGUGAUGGACUUUUGAGCAGGUAAUUAAUAUAUUUUGUAUUGCUGAAUGUUUUUAGAGUCUAAAAUAUCCUCAGCAAUGUUUGUUUCCCUUCCACUAGUUCUGUUUAGCUUUCUGUAGCUGUAGAGCAGAAGGGAGACCUAAUCUAUCAAAAAGACACAUUCUCAGAUGAGCAGUAAGAAAUAGAAGUAUGCAUUGUUUGCAGAGGACCACUUAGAUGUUUCACACAGGAGAAACAACGUACAGUUUCCUUAUAAACAGUCAUUAGUACAGCACCUCCUCUUCCUGAAAGGCAAGAACUGAGCUAGCAAUUGAUGUUAUUAAUUAUGAUUAUAUUAUUAAUUGUUAGCUUUCCCAUUAGUUCCUUAUAAUAUGAUAGUGUGUGAACCAACCU